rnacentral:rRNA from 1 species
AAAGCGUGCGCAGGCGGUUUUGUAAGACUGUCGUGAAAUCCCCGGGCUCAACCUGGGAAUGGCGAUGGUGACUGCAAGGCUAGAGUUUGGCAGAGGGGGGUAGAAUUCCACGUGUAGCAGUGAAAUGCGUAGAUAUGUGGAGGAACACCGAUGGCAAAGGCAGCCCCCUGGGUCAAAACUGACGCUCAUGCACGAAAGCGUGGGGAGCAAACAGGAUUAGAUACCCGUGU